AUUGAACGCCGGCGGCAGGCUUAACACAUGCAAGUCGAGCGGGGUGAUGGUGCUUGCACUAUCACUUAGCGGCGGACGGGUGAGUAAUGCUUAGGAAUCUGCCUAUUAGUGGGGGACAACAUCUCGAAAGGGAUGCUAAUACCGCAUACGUCCUACGGGAGAAAGCAGGGGAUCACUUGUGACCUUGCGCUAAUAGAUGAGCCUAAGUCGGAUUAGCUAGUUGGUGGGGUAAAGGCCUACCAAGGCGACGAUCUGUAGCGGGUCUGAGAGGAUGGUCCGCCACACUGGGACUGAGACACGGCCCAGACUCCUACGGGAGGCAGCAGUGGGGAAGAUUGGACAAUGGGGGGAACCCUGAUCCAGCCAUGCCGCGUGUGUGAAGAAGGCCUUAUGGUUGUAAAGCACUUUAAGCGAGGAGGAGGCUCUUUUGGUUAAUACCCAAGAUGAGUGGACGUUACUCGCAGAAUAAGCACCGGCCAACUCUGUGCCAGCCGCCGCCGUAA
rnacentral:rRNA from 1 species